CCCGCCACCCAAGGGCGCUCCGGGCACGCCGCUCUGAGGCUUACCGCGGAGGUCGCGACGAGAGGCUGGACCGAGGUGGCGCGCCGCUUGCGGACCCGCAGGUGUUCCUUUGCUACAGUGGACGGUGACUCUGCUCUUCUGCCUGCGAGUGGUUCAAAAUGUACCCAGCGUGUCUCUGUGGCUGUCCCCUCAGACUUUCUUCACACAGAGCUUCCCGCCAGCUCACUCUGGUGAGUACUCGGUGGUCAGACGCGCAGGACCAACCACAAAAGUGACCCAGUUCCCUGUUCUGCGUGACACAGCUGAGCUCGGGGUUGAUGAGUAGGCCCGAGUCGCACAGGGGCGAGCGGCAGUCUCUCUCACCUGACUCUGGGGUUCCCCUUGAAGAAGCAAGGUCAUGAUCUCAUGGACUUCCAUAAGCUGCCCACGGUGCUGUUAACAGGGGGUUCAAACCGAAAAAGGCAAUAGAAGCGGUGUUUGGAACCGCCGGUCGGCGCUCUGAGCGUCACUGUGCUGAACCCCGACUCAGAGCCGUCCUGGUGUGCAGCCUGCUCACCUGAGACUCCCGCCAAC